rnacentral:misc_RNA from 1 species
UUUCCGUAGGUGAACCUGCGGAAGGAUCAUUAUCGAGUUUUGACUGGGUUGUAGCUGGCCUUCCGAGGCAUGUGCACGCCCUGCUCAUCCACUCUACACCUAUGCACUUACUGUGGGUAUCAGAUCGUGAAGCGUGCUCUUUUACCGGAGCUUGUGAAGCGUGUCCGUGCCUGCGUUUAUCACAAACACUAUAAAGUAUCAGAAUGUGUAUUACGAUGUAACGCAUCUAUAUACAACUUUCAGCAACGGAUCUCUUGGCUCUC